UGGGGAAUAUUGGACAAUGGGCGAAAGCCUGAUCCAGCCAUGCCGCGUGUGUGAAGAAGGCCUUAUGGUUGUAAAGCACUUUAAGCGAGGAGGAGGGUACUGGUAUUAAUACUACCAGGUACUGGACGUUACUCGCAGAAUAAGCACCGGCUAACUCUGUGCCAGCAGCCGCGGUAAUACAGAGGGUGCGAGCGUUAAUCGGAUUUACUGGGCGUAAAGCGUUCGUAGGCGGCUAAUUGAGUCGGAUGUGAAAUCCCCGAGCUUAACUUGGGAAUUGCAUUCGAUACUGGUUAGCUAGAGUGUGGGAGAGGAUGGUAGAAUUCCAGGUGUAGCGGUGAAAUGCGUAGAGAUCUGGAGGAAUACCGAUGGCGAAGGCAGCCAUCUGGCCUAACACUGACGCUGAGGUACGAAAGCAUGGGGAGCAAACAGG
rnacentral:rRNA from 1 species